rnacentral:rRNA from 1 species
GACGAACGCUGGCGGCGUGCCUAAUACAUGCAAGUUGAGCGCUGAAGGUUGGUACUUGUACCAACUGGAUGAGCAGCGAACGGGUGAGUAACGCGUGGGGAAUCUGCCUUUGAGCGGGGGACAACAUUUGGAAACGAAUGCUAAUACCGCAUAAAAACUUUAAACACAAGUUUUAAGUUUGAAAGAUGCAAUUGCAUCACUCAAAGAUGAUCCCGCGUUGUAUUAGCUAGUUGGUGAGGUAAAGGCUCACCAAGGCGAUGAUACAUAGCCGACCUGAGAGGGUGAUCGGCCACAUUGGGACUGAGACACGGCCCAAACUCCUACGGGAGGCAGCAGUAGGGAAUCUUCGGCAAUGGACGAAAGUCUGACCGAGCAACGCCGCGUGAGGGAAGAAGGUUGUCGGAUCGUAAAACUCUGUUGGUAGAGAAGAACGUUGGUGAGAGUGGAAAGCACAUCAAGUGACGGUAACUACCCAGAAAGGGACGGCUAACUACGUG